AAUAAGUGAACGCUGGCUAAAUACGCCACAUCGUGUGGCAACGCCUGCAUGACCCACAUCCUGUGGG
rnacentral:sRNA from 23 species